GGGAUAUCUACAGCCACGGAGCUAAUGAAUGUACCUGAAUAGUAAACUGAACUAUGUAUUUUAAGCCCCCAAGUUGCUGAUCUGAGGCCCUUCAGCAGUGGGACAGAGGUGGUUCUGAUUGCUAUUCAAGAAAGAAGAAAACCUUAGAUCACUCCAGCAAUGGGGUCAGCUGAGGAAGACUAUUUCCUGAAACAAAGCAUGAAGCCUGGGAUAGCUCAGUAAAUACUGCUCACCCUAAGUAAUGGAUGGAGUUGGGAAGCUGUCCGGCAGACUUUGGUAGACUCUGGAAAUUUGAAAAUCGGACAGAACAAUGAAAGCCAACGUGAGAACCCUUUCAUGGGGACUUUAAAUGCAGAUGGAGAACAUGCUGAUUUUGUUGGUCAUUAAUAGUCAUCUGAAUUUCAAAAUGACCAUUUUCAUUUUUUUCUACUGAUGUGAAACAGUUUCACUCAGUCCUCAGAGAGCAAUUAACCAGACUUUUUGUUGGUAUCCAACAACUGUGCUUGUUGUUUUGUCUUAAGAAAAGGAGGCUGGGAGAUGACUUAGCCUUUCAGGACAAUAAGAAAUUUACAGUUUAAAAAGUGACAGAAAUAGGGUUAGACAUAAGUUUUUAAAUGCCAGGACAUCACAAUGAGAACUGGCAAAAACCAUGAUAUGGAGGAAUGGGUGGCAUCUGCUCUGAAGAUCUGACAACUACUAUCUGUUUUAUCCUACAAGGAAAUGGAGGACAAUUUGAUUCUUAAAGUUCCUUCCCACUUGGUGCUUCAAAUAACACUGCCAUGACUCAUAACCAUUUGGAUAUUUAAAUUGGAAUUGUCUUUUGAGCCAAUAAAAGUUAUGGAAGAAAUCUGCCUCAUAGUCAUAACCUGAGAUUUUUUUCACCCCAACUGAAAUUUCCCAGUUUAAUUAUUCACUUUAUUCAUUAGAAUUUUUAAUUUUUUUUUUUGAGGCAGAGUUUCACUCUUGUCGCCCAGGCUGGAGUGCAGUGAUGUGAUCUCUGCUCAC
rnacentral:lncRNA from 1 species